rnacentral:rRNA from 1 species
UGCUACCCGCUGACGAGCGGCGGACGGGUGAGUAAUGCAUAGGAAUCUGCCCGGUAGUGGGGGAUAACCUGGGGAAACCCAGGCUAAUACCGCAUACGUCCUACGGGAGAAAGGGGGCUCCGGCUCCCGCUAUUGGAUGAGCCUAUGUCGGAUUAGCUAGUUGGUGAGGUAAUGGCUCACCAAGGCAACGAUCCGUAGCUGGUCUGAGAGGAUGAUCAGCCACAUCGGGACUGAGACACGGCCCGAACUCCUACGGGAGGCAGCAGUGGGGAAUAUUGGACAAUGGGGGCAACCCUGAUCCAGCCAUGCCGCGUGUGUGAAGAAGGCCCUCGGGUUGUAAAGCACUUUCAGCGAGGAAGAACGCCUAGUGGUUAAUACCCAUUAGGAAAGACAUCACUCGCAGAAGAAGCACCGGCUAACUCCGUGCCAGCAGCCGCGGUAAUACGGAGGGUGCAAGCGUUAAUCGGAAUUACUGGGCGUAAAGCGCGCGUAGGUGGCUUGAUAAGCCGGUUGUGAAAGCCCCGGGCUCAACCUGGGAACGGCAUCCGGAACUGUCAGGCUAGAGUGCAGGAGAGGAAGGUAGAAUUCCCGGUGUAGCGG